GAUUCCGUGGCCUAAUGGAUAAGGCGCUGGUCCACGGAACCACAGAAUCUGGGUUCGAUCCCCAGCAGAGUCG
rnacentral:tRNA from 1 species